rnacentral:lncRNA from 1 species
UUCCAUCUUGGCAGUACAAGAAAAACUGAGCAGCCAACUGUUGCCGCUUUGCAUGCAUUGCUGGCAACUCGAGUAGCUUUACCAAAAAAUUGAGCAUGACAUCUACAGGUUACAAACAAAUGAGCAAGAUUCAGUUAGAUAACCACUGAUAGAAGCAUGUGAGUGCAAAGAAAUUGACAACUGAAAUUCAGUUAGAUAACAACAAUCUGAAUGGAGUACAACAUUGAUGUUAUUUCAGGAUUAAUAAAGAUGGAGCAGCAACAAUGUGAAUGGAGUACUUGAUGGACAACUGAAAUUGACACAAAGCAAGACUCUCAUAUUUCAUCUCACACAAUCUAUCCAUCCAUCCAUCUCAGCCUUGUUUUGUUCAGUACAGGUUCAACCUCGAACGCCACCAUGCAACUCUGUUAUGUUUUCAGUAAAGAUUGCUUUGUUUACCUCUGUUCUGUUUCCAGUAGACCAAUCGAAGAAGAUGAAGAAGCACUAGCUAAGAUCUAAUCCUUAUGUCCAGUUAACCACUAAUUUAGGAGCACAUCAGAGACAAAUGUUCAGAGACAAACUUGAUGUUAAUUUAGCCAAUGUUCAGAGACAAAUUAGACUUGACAGUAAAGAUCAAAAUUUCAGACUUGACACAUAAAUCAGACUUAGCCAAUGUUCAGUCUUAAGCAAAUCUCAGAAGCAGCAAAUUUCAGUAAAAAAAAUCAGGUUUUACACAUAAAUAAUGGACGGGAAUUGAAGGAGGGAGGCUUAACCUGCCAACAAGACGCCACCGCCGUCGCCGAGCUCAUAGUACAGUAUGUGCAGGGAUGGUGGAGCUCGCAGUACAGAAGAUGUCUCCGCCGCCAUCGAGCUCGCCAUCGAGCUUGCUGUCGUCGGGCUCGUCGGCUACGUCUCCCGCCGUCUGGCCUCGCAGCCACCAUAUCAGCCUCGCCGACGCCGGAUCUGAAGCAGCCGGAGCAGAGUGCGGAGGUCACUAGGAAGGGGGGAAGCUAGGGGAGGAAGGCAAGCUGGAGCUGCACGAGCAGGAGAGAGCGGCGGAGGAGGCGGCGAGCUUUGGCGGUGGUGGAGCUGCGUCGCAGCGCCGAGGAGGACCUGGAAAUGGCCGCCGCCGAGCAGAUCGAAAGAAAAAAUCAGUCUUCUCCUCGUCGGGGAUCACCAUGGGGAACGAGGAGGGGAACAAGGAGAGGGAAGCUGCGUCGGAGGCGUGGGGUGGGGGAGGCGUGGUGCGGGAGAGCUCCGGUGAUGCGGGGAGCCGCUGCGGGCAAGCUGCGGAGGAGCUGAGCUGCGGGGGAGCGGACCUCCGGCGCGACAGAGGAGCGGGGGAG